AGUGAACGCUGGCGGUAGGCCUAACACAUGCAAGUCGAACGGCAGCACAGUAAGAGCUUGCUCUUACGGGUGGCGAGUGGCGGACGGGUGAGGAAUACAUCGGAAUCUACUUUUUCGUGGGGGAUAACGUAGGGAAACUUACGCUAAUACCGCAUACGACCUACGGGUGAAAGCAGGGGAUCUUCGGACCUUGCGCGAUUGAAUGAGCCGAUGUCGGAUUAGCUAGUUGGCGGGGUAAAGGCCCACCAAGGCGACGAUCCGUAGCUGGUCUGAGAGGAUGAGCAGCCACACUGGAACUGAGACACGGUCCAGACUCCUACGGGAGGCAGCAGUGGGGAAUAUUGGACAAGGGGCGCAAGCCUGAUCCAGCCAUACCGCGUGGGUGAAGAAGGCCUUCGGGUUGUAAAGCUCUUUUGUUGGGAAAGAAAAGCAGCAGGUUAAUACCCCGCUGUUCUGACGGUACCCAAAGAAUAAGCACCGGCUAACUUCG
rnacentral:rRNA from 1 species